CCUACGGGAGGCUGCAGUGGGGAAUAUUGCACAAUGGGGGAAACUCUGAUCCAGCGACGCCGCGUGAAUGAAGAAGUAUUUCGGUAUGUAAACUUCUAUCAGCAGGGAUGAACACGACGGUACCUGACCAAUAAGCCCCCGCUAACUACGUGCCAGCAGCCGCGGUAAUACGUAGGGGGCAAGCGUUAUCCGGAUUGACUGGGUGUCAAGGGAGCGUAGGCGGUUUAGUAAGUCAGAGGUGAAAGCCCGGGGUUCAACUCCGGGACUGCUGUUGAAACUGUUGUACUAGAGUGCAGGAGGGGUAAGUGGAAUUCCUAGGGUAGCGGUGGAAUGCGUAGAUAUUAGGAGGAACACCAGUGGCGAAGGCGGCUUACUGGACUGUAAAUGACGCUGAGGCUCGAAAGCGUGGGGAGCAAACAGGAUUAGAUACCCGGGUAGUC
rnacentral:rRNA from 1 species